rnacentral:rRNA from 1 species
CCCUUAGAUGUCCUGGGCUGCACGCGCGCUACACUGAUGUGUCCAGUAAGCACCUAACCUAUUCCGAGAGGAGCGGGUAACCUUAGCAAAGCACAUCGUGAUGGGGAUAGAUUAUUGCAAUUAUUAGUCUUGAACGAGGAAUUCCUAGUAAGCACAAGUCAUCAGCUUGUGUUGAUUACGUCCCUGCCCUUUGUACACACCGCCCGUCGCUCCUACCGAUUGGGUGAGCCGAUGAAACUCUCGGAUGUAGGCUAUUCAUAGCCCGCAGAAGAGAUUUGAAUCGUAGCGCUUAGAGGAAGGAGAAGUCGUAACA